UGGUCUCUUCAGCAUAGCAACAGCAGCGUAGCUGAACAUCUUACGGAUGGCCCAGGGCUCCAAAGGCUCGUUUCCUAAGUGAGAGAGAGCCUGGCUGAAGCUGUAUUACCAUUCAUUCUCCAGCCUCCGAAGUCUCAAAGCAUCACUUCCACCAUACUCUAACUGUCAAGACAAACACAAAGGCCCAGAAACUGCCAGACUGUCUUCUGAAGUGGCUAUAAUAUUUACACUCCCAUCAGCAGUGUAGAAGGGGUCUCACUAUGUUGUCUGGAGUGCUGUGGUGGAGUGGAGUGGCUAUUCACAGAGCCUGUUCUGCUGGGACACAGAAUCACUUGCUCCAUCUCAUACAUUGAUGAUGAUUAAUUUGUAUGUGUACCUUCCAAAAAAGAUGGUUGUGUUUGAAUGGAGGCCUUCUGGACAGGAAAAUUGCAAAGUACAAUUAACAUUUGAGUCUGUCUGAGUCAUGAAGAAAUGGAGAUUACUGAAAAUAAUUCAUUUUGGUAUCUUCUUACAUCCUGAGAGACUAAUCUUUCCAAGUUCAUCUGAGGCUCCUCUUCUCCAUGACAACCUCAUCCAGGGAUUUCUUCCUGUCCUGGUGUUUUAUGACAUAAUCACAUCCUUCCUGAGAUAAUGAGCACACAAUUGCCUGGAUACCUGAAGGAAUGGAGACAGCGGCAGAAAACACUGCAGAGAGGUGGAAACAUCCGUUAAUAUUUUAAAAUCCCAUUACUGCUACCAACAAUAAUAAUGGAUGCAUAGAAAUAGAUCUGGAUUAGCUGAGCUUGAAACAGUCCAUCUCACACACACACAAAAGAAUUUCAGGUAAUGAAGAAAAGAAAAGGAAAAAAAUAACACAUGGCCUCUGUAACAUUGUUGCUUUUGAACCUUAUUGGAUUUGUGGCAAACUGGGUGCUUUUGGGACAUGAGUCUCCUACCACUCACCUGCCUCUGAGCUCUCCUCUGAGGCCGGUCACUGCCCAGAAGGGAUGCACCUGUCUUCUGUCCUGUGGUCUCUGGGUAGCCCCUGGGUCAGCAUUUUGGGUGCUAGCAUCUGAUGCAACUGCUACAGUUGCUGAUGAGAAAGUAGCUACCCUCCUCCACUCCACCCCUGCCGCCCAGGCCCUGCCACUCCUGCUAACCUGUCAGGCUACAUUUUCAAUUACUGGCUUUGAAAAAUGUCCAGGUGGAUUAAAUCAAUGAAUGCGAUGAGCUGAACACAA
rnacentral:lncRNA from 1 species